rnacentral:rRNA from 1 species
GUCUUUUUGAUUUAUAUAUAAAGUCUAACCUGCCCACUGAAACAUUUAAAUGGCCGCAGUAAUUUGACUGUGCAAAGGUAGCAUAAUCAUUAGUUUUUUAAUUAAAAGCUUGUAUGAAAGGUUGGACGAAGUAAAUUCUGUCUCUAUUUAAUUAAAUUUAGAAUUUAAUUUUUAAGUUAAAAAGCUUAAAUUUUUAUAAAAGACGAGAAGACCCUAUAGAGCUUUAUAAUUUAUUUUAAUAUAAUUAAUUAAGAUUUAUUUAAGUUUUAUUGAUAUAAUUAUUUUAUUGGGGUAAUAGAAAGAUUUAAAAAAUUCUUUUUUUUGUUAACAUUUAUUUAUGAAUAUAAUGAUCCAUUUUUAAUGAUUAAAAGAUUAAGUUACCUUAGGGAUAACAGCGUAAUUUUUUUAGAGAGUUCAUAUCGAUAAAAAAGUUUGCGACCUCGAUGUUGGAUUAAAGAUUAUUUUAGGUGUAGAAGUUUAAAAUUUUGGUCUGUUCGACCAUUAAAUCUUUACAUGAUCUGAGUUCAGACCGGUGUAAGCCAGGUCGGUUUCUAUCUUUAUUAAAAUAAAAUAUUUUAGUACGAAAGGACCAAAUAUUUAAUAUAUUUAUAUUUUAUUUAUGAAUAU